AAGUAGGUUGUGCCACUGCUGCAUAUUUUCAAGACAUCUAGGGGAGAAAUAAUCAACUCAGAAUAAUUUUCAAGGGAAUGUCAGCUGUUUCAUUUCGGAUUCAGCGUCUACUGAGAAAGGUUGCUUAUUUUAAACUCUUGUUAAAUUUCUACUCCUGAUUUUGCGUGGUUUUACCUGGAAUUUUGCGUAGGUUUUCUAUUUUACGCUUUACAAUAGGUCCACCUUAAAGCAACUAAGUAGUUGAAGGUGCUAUGGCAAUAUUUGUUUCAAAGAAACAUUGUACCAAACGUAUUCAAAAUGGUUUAAAGCAGAAGCAUGGCUUGACUUUGCCAGCACGUUUUUCAUCUCGUUCAGUCAAGUGCAUAACAUUUUUAUACAAGUGGCCCUCUAUAAAAACAGUUCUUUACAAUCUUUUCUAACAUAAAUUUCCUAGUUUCUUGCAGGUCUUCGAACUCUACCUGAUGUGCUGUGGUGACCACAGGAAAUUUCUGUGACAGUAUGCAAUGCCACAGAUGUUUGGUUGUCACUGUAAAUAAAAGAUCUUUAGUAUCAUUCUUGUGUUGAUGAAUUGUAAGCUCACACGUAAGAGGUUAAGGGAAGGUUGAUAUUUUGGUCUUGUCAUUGUGUUCAUUGUUGACUGUGGUUGUCACAUGGUGAAGAAUACUGUAAAAAUCGAAUAAAAAAAUAUCUUUUAAGGUUGUAAA